UCCCUGGUGGCUCAGCUGGUAAAGAAUCUGCCUGCAAUGCAGGGGACCUAGGUUCAAUCCCUGGGUUGGGAA
rnacentral:tRNA from 1 species